AACAACCCAGCUGUAAGAGCUGUCGUUUUCCAGAAAGAAAAAACUCUUGGAAAUAUCUCCUUUGAAAACCAGCCUCUGGAGAAGAUCAAACGUCGAGUGUAAAAAGGUUCUCUUCUCAUAAUUCUAUAGUCUAUCUGGCCUCCGUCAUCACCAUCCUCCGCCUCUGUAAUCUCCGACCCAUCAUUUCUCUGACCAGGGUAAGUAUUGUUCUCCAUUUUUAAUCCCAUUUUUGCCAGAAUAUGCGCAUGCUCAUUAACUGUUCGCCUUACAUGUCGAAAAUAAAAAUUAAAAAAAUUAAAGAAUAUAUAAAGAAAGUUAAAAUUUUAAAAAAUUAAAAUAAUAAUUUUGACACUUAAAUAAAUUAAUUAGUGAUUCAAGUUUAUUAUAUUAAAGUAUAUUAUUUUUUUAUUAUUUUAUUUUGAAAAUCAAAUUUAAAAAAAGAAUUCACUCAAUUCAAUUGAAGAUUCACCCUAAUAUUGAGGAUUUGUUUAUGCAGAGUCUGGAGCUGUUGGGAUUACAGAAAUCUAUCCAAACUCUAUAGUGUAUAUAUAAGAAUUUGUGUUUGGAUCACUUGCGAGUUUAGGAUCACAAAAAAAAGGUGGAUUUAGUUGGAGACGAACAUUUCAAUGCUUUAAUUAGUACAAUCUUGUCUUUAAUUUGCCUUCAACUUCACCGUAAUGAAAGAUUAAGAUUUAAGAGUUGAGAUUUGCGAAUAAAUAAAUAAAACGACAACGAGUAAACUUUUAUUUAAU
rnacentral:lncRNA from 1 species